CGCAUGGCUUGUGUCUCGUUCGCGCGCGUACGUAUGGCUCCGCUUUUAGUUUUUGGCGAAUGCUUAGAAGCAUCAAGUUGCGGACACUGCGGUGGGCCAGGGCUUGAUGACAUUUGUUGUCCAGCUGCUGGUGCUACCGCGACGUACUUGGAGCAACGCUUCUGCCUAUUUCCUCUGCCUGCACCUUAUAUUUGUUGUGUUUAUCGAGACCUGGCCUGUCUCUGCCUCGUUGAAGACAAAUGGGCAGAAGUACUGGUUGCUGUUGGUUUGUUUGGUUUGCUCAGUCUGAGCGUGGAUUGCUCGUUGGCAGCACGUGCUCAUGCAGCAGCUGACGUGUCUUCGAUGUGUUUCGCCCUGGUAGUGCGGUCGUCUUUGUGGUUCUAGAGCUGCGCUGGCAUUGCCCAAGAACAGGAUAUAUCGGCAUGGCGCAGAAUUGCAGAGUGGGGGCGCUCCAUUCUAUUCCCACUCCAUUCCUUCAGAGUUGUGGCUUAUGUGAUUCCAGUCCUUUUGUCGGAGUUCUGACAGUUGAACCAUUCCCACUCCUUGAGUGGUCGAACUAAUCUACUCCAAUCCUCCAAUUACAGUAAAUAAAAUGCUUUCUGUAUAAUUA